GGAUGUGAGGGUGACCUGGCUGCGACAUCUGUCCCCCCCUCAAUCUCCAGGGUUGAUUCAGCUGAUCUGCCGGCUAGGCAGGUUCCACAUUCUCCCUCCCUCAAUGUUCCAUGUGUGACUGUCCCAAAGCUGCACGCUCCUUUGAAGAGAACAACCAUCCCCACUAGAGGAGGACCGUUCUUCGGUCAAGGGUAUAGGAAUAGCUGUGCUCCCCUGCUAGAACCUCCAGACGAGCUCUCAAAAAAGUCAGCUCCGAGGCCAAUAUAAUGAUGGUUAUUGAUAAGGACCUCCAUCUCCCUCCAU
ensembl:misc_RNA 7SK 7SK RNA